rnacentral:lncRNA from 1 species
UGUGAUGUUCUACAAAGAGAUUAUUACUCCUAGGGAUCAGUGGACAAAUCGCUAGUUCAAAUGGUUACGUGAUUCGGUUAGUAUUACUCUUUUGUUUUGUUUGGUUUCAGCUUACUAUGACUACAACAUUUUUCAAUGAUGACAGAUUAGUUUCUAGUGGUCGCAGAUUUGUUUAUUAUUGAUGACAGAUUUAUUUGGUAGUGAUGACAUAGUUGUAUUCUAAUGAGAACAGAUUAGUUUAUGAUGGUGACGGAUUUGUUUGCUUUUAAUGACAGAUUUGUUCGAUUUACAUAAGCAUUUUUUGUUGAUUCAGGCUUAUCGCAGAUUAAUUGUUGUCUUCUGCAUAUUUAUUCUUAGUGGUGGCAGAUUUAUUCUUAGGUGUAUGUUUUGUGAGGUUAUUAUUUCAGGUUUGUAAACAGUUGCAGGUUUUUGUUAGAGAAGUAGCUCAGUUUUUGGUGUCGAUUUAACUUCAAUGUUCUUGUUGUUUAGGAACUAAAUUUGAGUUAAUGAGAUUUAUGUAUGUUGGAUUUUGUUUCCAAAUUAGUAUAACGUGAAUAGCUGUGAUGAUAUAUGUCUUUAUGCAGGAGAUGCAAAAGCUUACGUGGUGACAUUUAUGCAAAAGCUUACGUUGCAAACUUGCAAUGGUCGUUGCAAAUUUAAGAUCCUCAACAAAAUCUUUCUAAAGGUGAGCUCUGGCCUAGCUCUCCGACUUGUCUCCGGUUAUGCUUCAGCCAAGAAGCAACGACAGAGAAAAUGAAACUUAAAGAUUCGAAAUCCAUGUGUACUCAAUUCCAUACUAUUUUGUU